rnacentral:rRNA from 1 species
AUUGAACGCUGGCGGCAGGCCUAACACAUGCAAGUCGAACGAGGGGCGGGCGGGUGAGUAAUGUCUGGGAAACUGCCCGAAGGAUAGGCAUAACUACUGGAUACGGUAGCUAAUAACGCGUACAAUCGGCUGUGCCCAGAUGGGGUUGGCUGGUUGGUGGGGUAACGGCUCACCUAGGCGACGAUCCCUAGCUGGUGGGCAAGGAUGACCGGCCACACUGGAACUGAGACACGGUCCAGACUCCUACGGGAGGCAGCAGUGGGGAAUAUUGCACAAUGGGCGCAAGUCUGAUGGAGCCAUGCCGCGUGUGUGAAGAAGGUCUUCGGGUUGUAAAGCUCUGUCGGUGGGGAGGCGUUAUCCGCAGAGGAAGCCCCGGCUAACUCCGUGCCAGCAGCCGCGGUAAUAC